rnacentral:rRNA from 1 species
UACGUAGGGUCCGAGCGUUGUCCGGAAUUAUUGGGCGUAAAGGGCUCGUAGGCGGUUCGUCACGUCGGGAGUGAAAACUCGGGGCUUAACCCCGAGCCUGCUUCCGAUACGGGCAGACUAGAGGUAGGCAGGGGAGAGCGGAACUCCUGGUGUAGCGGUGGAAUGCGCAGAUAUCAGGAGGAACACCGGUGGCGAAGGCGGUUCUCUGGGCCUUACCUGACGCUGAGGAGCGAAAGCAUGGGGAGCAAACAGG